AGCAGGCGAGGGAGGUCGUCCACUCCACCAUGUGAAUGUGAGCGGCGCUCUGGUCCGCACUUGCUCCGCGUACUGUGUUCGCGUUCAUGUCGGUCCGUUCAAACGUGCGUUUUCCUGGCGUCCCUGCGUCGGGCGGGGGCGCGCGCGGCUCGGUCGCGUUCCCGACGGGUGUCGUGUGAGUGGCGACGGUCUGCGACGGUCGCAGCCUCGCACCGGCUCGUCCGGACCACUUUGUCUUGGCGUUGCUUGAAUGGGCAUUCCUCGUGCUAACCUCACUUUUCGUCCUGGUUGACAGUGCCCUCGGCACUCAGUGCUCGACUCCCCAGCACGAAGAGGGCUUGCCCCGAGUUUCACGCGACUGUGUGAGUGAGUGUGUGUGAGUGCGUCUGUGCCGUUUUGAGAGGAUACUUCAGCGCGCCGCUAUGGAUUUAUGGAUUCUCGCUGUCGCCUUAUCAGAUCGCCGCUGAGUCCGCAGGCAGCCCAAGAUGAAGCGCUGGGCCUGGUACCUGGCCGUCGCCGCCCUCGGUCUAGGUGUGGCCGGCACGGUUGAGGUCCACUUCGAGAACAAGGACGGCGGCUUCUUCCUCAAGCACAUCCCCCGGUCGUACCCGCUGGCCAGCGCGGGCGCGGCGGGGGCGGCCGGGGGGGC